rnacentral:rRNA from 1 species
UACAGAGGUCUCAAGCGUUGUUCGGAUUCAUUGGGCGUAAAGGGUGCGUAGGCGGCGCGGUAAGUCGGGUGUGAAAUCUCGGGGCUUAACUCCGAAACUGCAUUCGAUACUGCCGUGCUUGAGGACUGGAGAGGAGACUGGAAUUUACGGUGUAGCAGUGAAAUGCGUAGAGAUCGUAAGGAAGACCAGUGGCGAAGGCGGGUCUCUGGACAGCUUCCU